rnacentral:ncRNA from 1 species
GACAGCCAGGAGGUUUGCCCAGAAACAGCCACCCUUGAAAGAGUGCGCAAUAGCUCACUGAUCGAACGCUCUUGCGCCGAAGCUGAACGGGGCUAAGCGAUCUGCCGAAGUUGUGGGAUGUAAAAAUGCAUCGGUAGAGGAGCGUUCCGCCUUAGGGGGAAGCACCUGCGUGAGCGAGAGUAGACGAAGCGGAAGCGAGAAUGUCGGCUUGAGUAACGCAAACGUUGGUGAGAAUCCAAUGCCCCGAAAAC